GUGGGGAUGUCCAUGUCGACGCCGUCGACGCCCUGGAAGCGGUGGUGCUCGAGGUGGUAUUUUUGGAAGGUGACGGACAUGGGGACGCCGAUGGGGAGGUUGGCGAAGAUGCCCAGCCAGCGGUUGUAGGAGGGGGUGGAGAAGGCCAGGUUGUGGCUCAGCUCGUGGAUGGCCAGGAAGAGGUUGUGGUUGAGGAAGGACCCGAAGAAGUAGGCCACCGAGAAGAUCUUCAGCCACCCGGCGUUGUGCAGGAAAGCAGCAGUCCAGAGCUGGAGCAAGACCACC
rnacentral:lncRNA from 1 species